GCCAGAACCAUCUUGGUGCGGAGGGUGAGCAGCGCGGAGUUCUUAUGCCGGCGGGGACCGGCGCUGCGAGGCCACGGCGGGAAGCCGCGCUCUGAAGCGGUGGCCGGAGCUGCCCGGCCGUUCCCGCCGGCCGUGCGGGCGGGCGCUGCUGGAGGAGCUCGCUGCCCGGCCAAGGUGUGCGCGGGUCCCAGGAGCUGCCGGGCGGCCACCGGGGCGAGGUGAGCUCUUAGUCUGACGAGAAGUAGUCGUGCUGACGCGGGACGGGCGGCACCGUGCAGUAAUACCCGUCUGCGAGGAUCGCCGGAGUACGAGUGAAGGCGGAAGGGCGGCCGUGCAGGCGCAGCCCGCUCAGUGUGCUUCUUUAAAGGCGGCGUUACUGUGCGGCAGCGACGCGUUUGAGAGGCUGCCGGUACGGACUGCCUGCCGGGAUCUCCAUCAGGUGAGAUCUCUGGCAGCCGAGCAGUGGUGCAGGCCGUGGACCUGUGCUCUGUGCCGUGCAGAAAUCUCCAGUUUCCAUUCCCCUCGUUCGGGGGGGGCACUUGAUGGCUUCUGCCACGUAACCAUGUCGUCCAGCUUCCCUCUCAUACCUCUCCUUAGGUCUGCUUAGCUUUGUUUUUCAGAAAGCUACUUAAAACAGUCAUAAAUUGUGCUAAGGUGGAAUUAAACGCUUGCACUGCACAUGCAUUUGAGGUUGUGGGUUUUACAUUUCUAAAAGGAAAAGUGUUCUGUAUCACUUUGUGCUUGGGAGCAUCUGAGCCCACACACGUUCUGCUCAAAGUCAGUAGGAUUAGGUGCAAACGGGAGGAAAAAAAGCCACGCUUCUAUAAAACAUGACUGGACAAAGUGUAUUCUGAGCAAUUCUUCACUAUUUAUGUCUUGGUUCUGAACGUGGCAUCACGAUUGUGGGUAGCCGUAGAUUUGUUAUUAAGUUCUUCGUGCUUCUCUGUACGGAAGGACUGAAGAAAAUUUAGAUGGUGUAAUCGCCCAGCUCAUGACUGAACCCUCAAUUGAAAUAAAACUUUCCUUCGUAGGGAAAAUGUUUUAAACCUCUGAAGGCAAGAAUAGGUUUUCAUUAUCAAGGUUUUGUUUUCAAAGCAGCAGCCCAGGCCUCGGAGACAGCAGUGCAACCAUGUGUGGGAGUGGAAGGAUCUCGGAUCUGUGUGACUGCAAAAAGGGGACGCAACCUUCAAGUUACAAGGAAAUGCAUUAGCACAGUUGUUGAUCUCAGAUUCUGGGCUUUGGGCAAGUAACUAAGCAGGGGUUUUAUGUUUGGUUUUUGCCUGUUUGGGUGUGUUGGGUUUUUAAAUUCUAAUUGUUUCUUUCUAACUUUGGAAAACAAACAGGUUGCUGUGGGUAUUUGCAGGACGGGCCGCAGUUGCAGAAGAGUUUCUUGCCUGAAAACAGAAUAACCAAUUGCCAUUGCUGUCUUUACUGCCAGUGUCUGAAAUGCGGAUCUUGAGAUGAGUGGGGAGAUGGUGCUGCAGGGGACUCCUUUAUUGGAAGUGCAACUGAGAAUAUCAGACCCAGUUGAGAGCAGUGAUGCAGAGCAGUGUGAAGAGCACAGAAUAAUGUAUCGAAUAGCAACAACAUUAAAAAAAAAAUGUUGGUUGCAAAAUUGCUAAUGACUGAUCAUGUUCGUGUGUGUUAUGGUUAUAAUGACACAGUCAUCAUGCAAAGCUAUCGUGACCCAUACUGUGUGUCUAUCUGAGGCCUGCACUAACUUUUCUGACAGCCUCAGUGCUUUCCUUCAUAAAGUCCUUCAUAAUGCCUUACAGUGCAGUCCAGGUGAAACCCACGAGGUAGAAAUCAUAAAAUGCUCUGGCAUACGUACCAAAUUCCCAGACCGCUCUGGAUUCUGCAGCUCUGCAGAACAGGAGCUGUGCUCUGUUCCUCAGUUCUGGAAGUUUUAAUCGCUGCAAUGUACUGAUGACAGAGCAUUGCCCUUAGUUCAGCAGUGAUACAUCAUGCUGCAUUUAAAUUGAAUUUUACGCAUGAAAUCCUUUUGCAAGCAUCUCUCUGUGUCCCAUGGCCAUCGAGCAUCUUGCACCCAGACGAGUGAUGUGGGUAUUUCUUUUUUAUCAUAUCUUAAUUAUGAAAAUAACUGACAUUAUUGAAAUGAGUCUUCCAGUGACAAAGCUGAACUUGGUAUAAGUUCAUAGAAUGCCCUGUACUACGGGGCAUUCCCUAUAGGAAGUCCUGCAACCAGAAGAACCAGGGCUUCCUAUCAUCACCUUACAUUCCAGCAGUUCUGCUCUCUACUGCACUGGGCUCUGCGUACAUCAUCUAACUGUCAGAGGAAACCAGUUCUCACUGGGGAAAGGAAAGUGUUCAGAGAAAGGCAGCUGCUUUUUUUAAUUUUUUUUUCUUUUUCCUCAGUUUAUUAUUUCCCAUCUGGUACCAAUACCUCACAGAGUGUCCUGGAAGAAUGAAAUUCUGACAGGGGAAUGGAGCAACAUCACUUGAAUCAUAGAAUGGCUUGGGCUGGGAAGGACCUCAAGGAUCGUGAAGCUCCAACCCCCCUGCCACAGCUGUGCUUUCUUUUUUUUUUUUUAAUUGCUUGUGCAUUCCCACCUGAAAACUUCACAUCAAAGACGGAUGGCGGAAUCAGUUGCUGCCUGCUUAUUCCUUUCACCUGCUUUCCGGUGCAGAAUACGUUGAGAUUUUCAGAAGUCCUCCACCAAAUACUCUUUGAGAAGCUGGUCCACGGGAGAGCUUUGGCCGUGAUGACCUUGCAGUUUGGAGCACCUCCUGACUUUUCACCAGGUCAGUAGGAUUCAGAACGUGACGCUCCAGCAGUGUUGUGUCUGCAUGCCUGGCGUUUGUUCCUCUGAAGCAGAACUUUUCUUUUCUUCAGAAAAAGUGCUCAUGCUGCCCGUGAUGGCAACAGAAAUACCGUAACCAGUGUGACAGAUGGAAAUUAACUGAAAUACGGUUCAAUCAUUUCAUGACAGGUCCUUAUCUUUAAAAAAUUCAGGCUAUUAUUCUGAGGAAAUUGGGCAUAGUCUCUCUAUAAUUAAUGACAAAAUACACUGAAGUAGUUCGUGCAUGUCAGAAGGUGCCAAAAUACUUGUUUUUAAAACAAAGAUCCUUCAAAACCAAAGAUAUUGGUUGCCUAAACCUGGCCAGAGCACAUCUAUAUGCAGAAUGUGGGUGAUGCUGGGGGCUGGAAUGCGUAUUUAUUUGUGUUCUCUCCUGCAAGGUCACAGUGAAACAGAUUAACAGUAGCUAUUCCUCCCUUCCUCCCUCCCCUCCAUGAACCCUGCAGGCUGAACUUUAUGAGGAGUUUAGCCUUUGUUUCAAGAUACUUUCACAUUUAUGGUUUUGCUUUUGUGAGGCAGCAGUGUGAGAGAGGGAAAGGCUUUAAUGUGUUAAUGAAGUCAGCCUGUAGACUUGUUUGUUGUCCUCAUUGCCAGCCUACCUGGUUGUACUGAAGAGAAGUUGUGUACUGCUUCUGAACUUGUAAACAGAUGAAAUGGGCAAGUAUUUGAGAAAAAUAUACUGCCAGCCUUUACCCUUCCCUCCUCUGCUUUUAUUAGCUACAAUUAAUUUUUCUACUUAAUCAGAAAAUGAGUCUUUCAACAGAUGGUUUGCUUUGUGCCUUUGGCAUAUUGACAUAGACUUGAUGUAUUGCCUAGCAGUUAACCUUUUUUCUCUUGUUAGCUCAUGGGACCUCUGGAGAAGCACUGAAGUCUGCAAAACACCAUUAAUUAUAUUACAUUUACCGGUCAUUUUAUUUCCUCACGAGUAACUUUUUAUGUUCUCAGUAGCCUGUCAGAAUCGUGGUGUCCUGCAAGUUGCUAAUGGUUUUUCUGCAAGCCUUAGAGGUCUGAUUUCAGUUUCAGCGGUGAUUUUUAAAUGGGAUAUUAACUUCCAGAGGCAGCAUGUUACUGCUGCAAAGCAUCAGCUUGCCCGUGGUUUGACCCAGCUGGUAGGUUCUAGAUUAUACUGCAUGCUGAAUCUUUGGGUUAAUGGCACAGCUGGGAUAUGCAGCUGAGAAGUAAUACUUACGUUGUUCUAAGUCCAGUCUAAGCUGAACUUCAUACACUGCCCUCCAGGGACUGGAGAAUUUUUAUCAUAGCCGUACUAAUUUAUAAGAUAUCCUUGAAGGUAAAGAAAAGGUAAGCAUACAUGCUGCAAAGAUAUUUACAGCAUAAAUUCUAAGGGCAGAAAUAUUUAGCAAAGACAAAUUUAGGUGAAAAAGAUAAUCAUGUUUUUUUUUCCAAUAUAUCCACGGUUAUUAUAAAGUAUGCAUCUUGAAUUUUAAAAUUGCUUCCUAUUUUGAAGAAUUAAAACUCUUUCCUAUCCAGAGAUAGAGCAGACGAACUGGACAAUUCUAGUGGAAUUCACUGAUGUUAUUUUCAAGUAGGAGAUUUAGAAGCUGUUGCUUACACUGGAUUUAGAAACAAUUUCAAAGGGAAUCUAGAAUGUUAUGUCAUUCACGUCUUUGACUCUGCACUGCUUUGCUACAAGGGAAUAACGAGUGGUGAAAGAGGCCUCAGACUGUGAAACAAUGUCAGCCUGCAUAAUAAUUGUAACGUUAAUGAAAGACAUAGGUUAACAAGAACAAGAAGACGUAGUUUUUCUGUCAUUGUAGAGUGUUAUUAAGUGCUUAGUUCUGUGAUGGUUUCCGUUCUGUGCUGUUCUCUUUAGACAGCUCUGGAUUAUAUAUGGUAAUGGAAAAUCACUUUGUGACUUUAACAGUGGUAAGAACUGUAGCACGUGAAGGAGGCAAUGCUGUGUGGAAACCACAGCUUUUAAAAAGAUUCACUGGAACACGUUUUCUUCAGAUCACUUACAGCAUGCUGUGUUGUUUGGGUGUCUUGUGAAACUGCCUACUGAUAGAGUUUUCUGACAGCAGAGGACUGUGUUUUGAAUAUCCUGCUUUGGCAUCUUUUUUUGUUUUUUUUUUUGUUUUUUGUUUUUUUGUCUUUGUUUUAGGUAAAUCUAGGGUGAAGAGAUCAAACAAAUUUACAAAAUGAGUGUUUAAAAUGAAGUCACUUCAGAAUAUGCUUCUGUUACUGUAUAGAAGAUACUUCCCUACGUCUACCAUGCUCUGUGCUGGAUUUCAUCAGUAUGUCUUUAAGGGAAAUCCUCAACAUAUUGUUGCUUUAUAAAAAAGAGAUAAGCAAACACUGGCUGUGCUCUGGAACUGUUCUAAGCACAGAAGUCAAAACAGCCCUUUGUCAAGGCUUUUCUUGGAUCACAUAGCCCCAGGGGUGAAAAACAACUCACGGGAGAGUUACUGCACACUGUGCUGUGGGAUUGAUACUUGGAUGUUUUACAUAAGUGUAAAGCUUCUGCCUAAAUUUUGGAUUUCUAUUUCAGAUCAUAUGCAUUAAGAGGUUAUAUGGUUCCUACAGAUGGCUUUCUAACAAGUUCUUUCAUGCAGAGCUGGAGGGGAGGCAAGAUGUUGGCAUAGCUGUUAACCUAAAAACCUGCUAUGCCAACAUAUUGUCAUCUUUCCUGUCUGUUUGCGUCAGAGACAGAUUCUAAAUUGUAAUGGACGUAUUUUUUGCACUAACAAUGAUUUUUUUUUUUUAGUGUUUGUACGUUCUGCUGGGAGCUAUCUAAUAAAGAGUUCUGAGCAAUGAGAAUGUGCUGGUAGUCAAAGACUGAAGGAGCAACACUGAAGGAAUGCUGUAGCUGUGUUUCACUGAGCUGUUUCCAGCCCUUGGGG